rnacentral:lncRNA from 1 species
GUAGCUACAUUCAUUACUUAAAUUUGCCAAAAAAUCUUCCUUAAUUUUUUUUUAACUUUUCCUAAAACAGGCCUGAAAUUGACGACUGACGUUUUUAAGUAAAUCUUCAUUUAUUGAUUUUCCAAUUGCCCCCUAUAAAUACUUGGUCUUUGUCUUUUUCUGUGCAAAAUAUAUUUUUUGAUAGGAAGCUGCCAUUGCUUCUCUCUUGAUAUUCAACACUUUUAACCAUUUUGGUAAGGUCGAUAUUGCUAGCAAAGCCAAUGUAUUUGAUUUUCACUGAUUCUUCUUUUGAAGAAAAGAAAAUUACAUAUAGCAGCUAUUGCUGUAUUUGACAACCGAAAUUUAUCCACCAUUAUUGUAAGAUUAGGGCAUGGAAAUCUGGAAUAACUGGAACGCUCACUGUUAUGUAUUUAAUAUGUCCUUUCUGGUUUUUAUCUUGUUAUAUAAGUACUGUGUUUUACGUGUUAUAAAUAGUAUCGUCUUAUGUAAAUAUAUCAGAGUAUAGUUAGAAUACACAUGAUCUAGUGUUACAUUAUUCCUCCACGUGAAUUCUUCUCCUCAUUUCUCUCAGUCAUCCUGGAUCUCUCCACCUUAUAAAUAAGUUUGUGUCUCUCCCUCAUCAAGACGCAACACUCACGCAUUGAAAAAAAGAAAAGAAAAUUUCCGUUAUGAGGCUAUUGUUUUCCCUUGUGUUUUCAUACUCAACAACGUAUUUAGUAUUCACUCUUAAUACAGCUUUGUUCAUCAUAAUUAAAACGUACGUUGCUGACAAUAGUCUAAGUUAAUUAAUAUAAUAUUUGCUUAUUUAAAUAAAGCUAGUGAAUUACUUGUGAUUGUGUGCUUUUCUAUCCCUUCUACGAUCUACUUUUGAGCACAAUCAUGCCUAAUAAGUCCUGUGUUUCUAAGUGAUCCUCCGGAUAUGAUGGAAAACUAGCUAUAGCAAGGUUAUCGCUCCAUUCUUUUCCACUGGAUGAAUCCUCAAAAGGUACCUGGCUUAAAGCCAUUCCACGGGACAGCAAUGGGACUUAGGCACCUUCUAAGGAUUCAAGGGUCUGUUCCCUCAAUUUUCACGAGGAUGACUUUGUAUGUGAGAGGCAGACCACAAGAGGAAAUAUCGAUCUUAUGGAGUUGAAGAUAAUAAGCUCCAAAAACGUCAUUUGAAACCCUCUGAAGUGCCUAGUAUUUUCCCUAAUCUUCCGAAAUACUUAUCAUCCGUCAAAAGUCAACGGCCUACAUCGAGAGCUACCACAUCAGCCAGGAUUUCUAAGGAAAAUGAAGCUAUCGUUGAACACCAACGAUUAUUAUUCCUUAAAGAUUUUUUUAUUAACUUAAGUAAUUUUUGUCUUCAAGUGUGGAGAUGAAAAAUUCCGGACGAAUGUUCAUUGGAGGAGGGCGGAGGAUUCAAUACAGUAAUACUGUCUACCUGAACUAUGUUCUGAUUUUGUCGAAAUCGAAUUUUCAGUGAUGAUAAAUAGUUAUUUGACAUUCAAUUUAUACCAGAAGAACGUCAACCUAGAUUGGAGCUGCGUGAAUCACCUCACAACGAAUAGAAAUAUCACCUCGGUAUGCCUUCUUCAGAACAUCCUUGCUCACAUGAAGAGUAUUCCUUUUGCUCCAAUGAAAGAUAUGAUUAAUCACUUAAUCAAUGAAGUUGAGAGUAUCGUCGAAAAUCUAUAUCCGUCGGAUAUAGACUCACAAACGGAAAAAGUUGAUUAUUUUCAUAAGAGAGCAACUUGCUUUGAUAAACUCUACACCGAAACAGAAGCGAUACUCUUCUGUAUUAUUAGCUACUUCUCUGUUAUGGCAUAACACCAGGCCAGCUUUAUAUCGUCAAUUAUCUCAGGAUGGUUUGACUCUUCCUUCCCUAAGUCACUUAAGAAAAUUGUCAUCUGCAUUUACCAUGAAUGUUGGCUUUUCAUCUUCGUCCGUUGACUACUUGUCCUUAAGACGCAAGUUAUUGUCACCCAAUCUAAAGAAAGUUAUUCUAAUGGUUAAUGAAGUAUAUACAGCCCAAAGAGUGGAAUAUUUCGGAGGAAGGAUGAUUGGUCAAGAAGGAGGAAGCAUAAAAAAAGACACUUUUUGUGUUCAUGAUCAAGCUUGUGUGCUCAAAGUAUCAGGAAAGAGUUGCGAUGUAUCCUAUUAUAUGCCUCAAUUCGUCUGUACUGCAUGAUCUACUAUUGCAAAUUAAUACUAAACUCUUUAAAAUCGGAUUUGACGUCGUAACUAUCUCCAUGGAUAAUGCAAGUCCUAAUCGAAAAUGUUUCUUGGCAAUGUGUGUAGGAUCCUGGAAGGCUAGUGUCCCAAAUCCUGCAAGGCCAGAAUAGGAACUAUUCCUCCUUCUUGAUAGUACACAUAACUUAAAAAAUAUUUAUAAUUAUUUUCAAAGAAAUUUUUUUUUAAUGUGCCCUAACUUUAUGGAUGUUCAGUUGUCAAAACCGAAUUUCCAGCAUCUUAUUGAUAUUUUUGAAAUGGAGAAGGGCAAGACUAUUAAAAUUGUUUAUAAGCUCACGACAAAAUCUUUGUAUCCUACGUCUAUUGAGUACGAACUUAUUGACCAAAGGAUUAUCAGUUUUCAAUCCAUUUUUAGAAAUCCUUUUAACUUUUUCGUCUACUUUUUGAAUUUUACCAGCAAAAAAGUAUUGUUCAUUGCAGGAAUGCCAAAUUACUCCCAUAUUGACAAUACUAAAUCAGCAGUUGUUAAAUAAGCCUCUUUUUUUUAACCAUUUUUCUGGAUGAAUUUGAUUUAAGUCUUGCUUUACAAUUAAAAGGGAUUUAUAGACAUCCUUGAUAGAUGGAAGAAUUACUGGAUUUAGAUCACGGGGCUGACCAAAAAGGAAAUGCAAAGUUAAACUUCUUGUAGCCAUUGUUCUUUCUGCUGGAUUACUACUUUGUGAAAAAUCACAUGCAUCGCAUUUAUAAUUAAGAACUCCUUGAAGGUUCGAUUUGAAGUUGUUGUAUAAAAGAAAUAUGUCUAUUUCUCAAAAUACAAAGAUGUAAUAAUAAAGAAUGUUAAAUUUUGA